CAGAAGGUAGUUUAUAUAAAAUUCUAGUUUUGGGUAUUAGAGAAAAAUAAUUAUUUUCUUCUGA
rnacentral:tRNA from 1 species